rnacentral:rRNA from 1 species
UGAGGAAUAUUGGCCAAUGGGCGCAAGCCUGAACCAGCCAUGCCGCGUGCAGGAAGACGGUCCUAUGGAUUGUAAACUGCUUUUAUUUGGGAAUAAACCUCUUUACGUGUAGAGAGCUGAAGGUACCAAAUGAAUAAGCACCGGCUAACUCCGUGCCAGCAGCCGCGGUAAUACGGAGGGUGCAAGCGUUAUCCGGAAUCAUUGGGUUUAAAGGGUCCGCAGGCGGUCUUAUAAGUCAGUGGUGAAAGCCUACAGCUCAACUGUAGAACUGCCAUUGAUACUGUAAUGCUUGAAUGCGGUCGAGGUGGGCGGAAUAUGAGAUGUAGCGGUGAAAUGCGUAGAUAUGUCGUAGAACACCGAUGGCGAAAGCGGCUCACUAGGUCUGGGUUGACGCUCAGGGACGAAAGCGUGGGGAGCAAACA